AGUCAUCUUUGACGUCCUUUUCAGGUGCGUUUCUAUAUAAGCAAAAACACACUUUUUGUAUAUUUGCUAUCCUUUAGUUUCAUUUUGCGAAGGUUUAGUAGCUAGCAGACUAAUACUUGGAAUUGUAUUGAUUAUAUAUUACAAUAUAGUUGUAUAAAUAAUUAAAGUUGUGGGCUUGAUUAAAGUAAUUCAAAUAACAUUUAUGUCAAUGAAAUAAAAUUGAUUGUUAGUCCAAAGGGAUGAUGUGAAAUUGACAGAUUUGGAGAUUGAUUGCAAAUUAACAAUAUAUUUGGUAAUAAAGUUUUGACUAUGGUUACUCUUUUUGCAAGUUGAAAUUGAUGUAACCCACCCCUUUCAACUUAGAUUGCAAGGAUUUUGUAGAUAUAGAUAGUGUCAUGAGCCUUUGCUGAGUUGUUCCUGCACGACUCUUUAUAGUUUUUUCAUUUCUAAUGUUGUACUACGAGUAUGAAGGUUGGACAUUUCUUUUAUUAAAAUUUUUUUUAUAUAUAUAUUUUUCUUUUUUAAAGAUCAUUGAGCAUUUCUGUUCUCGAUGCCAUCACAUUAUUUUUACUGAAAUCCUGCAGAUAUCUACAACACUUAGGUUACGAAGUUACUUAUGUGAGAAAUUUU
rnacentral:misc_RNA from 1 species